AACAUCCUAAAUAGUACGUAUAGUGACUAGUUCUUUAAAAUCCGAACACUUCUAUUAAGGGAAUCUGAUUCUCAAAUUCCGUGUUGAAUGCCUAGCUUUUUCACCUAGGAAUCCUAAAGAAUUUGAUAAGAUACCCACCUGCUAAUUUGGCGGGUUUAUAUCCUAGCACUUACGGCAUUUUGGGACUAAA
rnacentral:other from 1 species